GAGAAAAAUGUCUAGAAAAAAACCUGCUCUCACCAAUCUAUGGCAUCACUAGCCUUGAGUCAUCAGAAGCGAUGAGCAAGUUUUCCUGAAACAGGAGGUCUUAAAGAAACAUAAUUUUCCAGUGUGGUCUUGUGAUCAGGAUGCAUCAGCGGAAAACUUAACGGAGAAAAAGCCCAUGAAUUCUUGAACUCCAUCAGUGCCCAGAAAAGUAUUUUUAUAAGGGAAUGUUCUAGGACUUCUUUGUGGACUGAUGUGCGCAAACUGUGCUUAGUGACUUGUGAAUCAAGCACAGCCCCUGAGAUCAGAGGCAAUGCUCACCCCACACAUACAGCACUGUUGACAUCAACAAAACUCCCUGUGUGAAUAACUUGGAUCCUGCAGAAAAUUUGAGGUUGAAACUGGGAUUUAUAAAAAUUGCCCAGUUACAUAAAAUAGAUUUUUGUUACAGGAAAUAUUUAACUAAGUCAAGUUUUUCUUAGAAUUAGUAACUUCUGCUUAGUAACUUCCGCUUUUUGGUAUCACAGUUUACAUUACUGUGUCUGUUACCAGAGAAACGGAAUACGGUUGUUGCUAUGGGAACAUGUGGUGUGCUAUAAACAAGCUGCACAGCAAUAACUUAAUUUGAAUGCCAUUAUUGUAUGCUACUCUAAGCAAAUGGUAAAUAUGAAUUGAAAGAGAAUUUGAACAAUUUUGAAUAUUUUUUAUGGUAUCGUUUGGCUGUUAUUUUAACGCACAUCUUACUAAAAGUCCAGCAAGAAAAAUCAUCAAGUCUUUCCAAAAGUAUGAAGUAAUAGUUUAAGGAGAUUAAAAUCCUGAUUCUGUCUUUUUUAAUCUGGCUAUGUAACUUAAACUCCGAGCCUCAUAUUUCACUUGAAUGAAAUCAUAUUUAUUUGGUUUUAGAAGUCAGAUGAAAUAUAUGCAGUUCAAGGUACUAUUUUAAAAAAUUGUUAUUGUUCAAAUUAUUACUCGAAAUACUUAUUUGAAUGCAAAAAUGUACCCAGAAUGUACUCCUCAUUUCCGUACAUCUGUUCACUGAAAAAUUAGCAGUCUCACCUGAAAUUGUAUGUCUCAAAUAUGCAUAUUGUGUAUGAUCACAAGCUUAUGAGAGCCAUAAUAUAUUUGAUAUUUUAAAUAUUUUAUUAAAGAUUGUUUAAAUGCUUAAAAUAUUGUAAUUAUAGCAAAUACCUGAUUCCCACCACAGUCUGGAUAUGGCAUUUAAAAUUGUUUAUCUUUGUAUUCCAAAUGAAAAGAAACUAUUUUUAAGAUGAUCUG